GACGAACGCUGGCGGCGUGCUUAACACAUGCAAGUCGAACGGAAAGGCCCUGCUUUUGUGGGGUGCUCGAGUGGCGAACGGGUGAGUAACACGUGAGUAACCUGCCCUUGACUUUGGGAUAACUUCAGGAAACUGGGGCUAAUCCCGGAUAGGAGCUCCUGCUGCAUGGGGGGGGUUGGAAAGUUUCGGCGGUUGGGGAUGGACUCGCGGCUUAUCAGCUUGUUGGUGGGGUAGUGGCUUACCAAGGCUUUGACGGGUAGCCGGCCUGAGAGGGUGACCGGCCACAUUGGGACUGAGAUACGGCCCAGACUCCCACGGGAGGCAGCAGUGGGGAAUAUUGCACAAUGGGCGGAAGCCUGAUGCAGCAACGCCGCGUGCGGGAUGACGGCCUUCGGGUGGUAAACCGCUUUCGCCUGUGACGAAGCGUGAGUGACGGUAAUGGGUAAAGAAGCACCGGCUAACUACGU
rnacentral:rRNA from 1 species